rnacentral:rRNA from 1 species
GAAUAGGAGAGCUUGAUCCUGGCUCCGCCAAAACGCCUUUGUUUGGCCUGACACAUGCUAGUGAAUUAACACCAAUGGAGUUAUUCGCGUACAGGUGAGUAAAACGCGGGAAUGUACCCCUAAAAGUCUACAAAGUAUAGAAAAGGGAUCAGCUCACGUAGGAUUAGGUUGUUGGGCAGGUAAAAGCUGCCCAAGCCGAAAAUCUUUAGCCUUCCUCAGCGGGAGUUAGGCCACAGUGGAACUGAGAAAAGGACCACCCAUAGGCAGCAGUGGGGAAUAUUUGACAAUAGGCGAAAGCCUGAUCGAUCCAGAACAAUGGAGUGAUACCGUAACAGGUACGAUCCGGGAAGACCUAAGUCGUCAAGCUCUGUACAUAUAGCUAGAAAAUAGAUCUGUCUUUAUGUAAAGUCCCAACCAACUCUGUGCCAGCAGUUGCGGUAAUACAGAGGGGGCAAGCGUUUGGCGUAUUGACUGGGCUUACAGCGCACGUAGGCUGUUAUCUUGUUGAAGCUUAUUUUUGCCAUUGCAUACCAAUGGAAUAAUAUGUCUUACCAAAUAGCUUGAGUCGGUAUCAGGAAAGGAGAACUUUUCAUGUAUAGGUGAAAUUAGACCAUAUGAAAAAGAAUGCCAAAGGCGAAGGCACCUUUCUAGAACCAAACUGACGCUCAGGUGCGGAAGCGCGGGGAGCAAAAGGGAUUAGACACCCCAGUAGUCCGCGCCGUCAACGAUAGGUGUAGGGCGGAUCCUUUUUAUACUUGCUCUAAAUAAAAAGAGCUGAAGUCAUAGCAAAAGCAUAAACACCUCGCCUGGGGAGUACGGUCGCAAGGCUGAAACUCAAAGGAAUUGGCAGUAUACGAGAUCAGCGGUGGAACAUGCGGUUUAAUUCGAUAUAACGCGAAAAACCUUACCACUCUUUGCAUUUUUUACAUAGAGCUAGAUGUUCUUUGUUAAUAACAGGCGUUGCAUGGCUGUCGUCAGUUCGUGGUGUCUAGCCGUUCAGGUUCAUUCCUUGUAACGAACGAAACCCUCGUGUUAAUUGGCAGCCGUUUUGCUAAUUAACAACAGUUAAGCUUCAAUAUAGAGCGGUUGGCCUUAUUUGCUCCGCUCAUCCUAACAUAAAGGACGAGGAUCACGUCAAGUCAUCAUGGCCCUUAUGGAGUGGGCAACACGUGUGUGACAUUGAUAAUCACAAAAGGAAGCUAUGGUUUAAAGCCGGCGCCAAUCCCUAAAAAUUGUCACAGUUCGGAUUGUUUUCUGCAACUCGAAAACAUGAAGUUGGAAUCGCGAGUAAUCGUGGAUCAGCACGCCGCGGUGAAAAUAAUAUAGUAUCGUAUGUGCACACAUCGCCCGUCACGUUCAGAAAGUUUAGUGUAUUUAAAAACCGGGUAUUUGGGGAUAAAAAUAAAGUCCACUUAGCAUUGCUAUAAAUACAAAGUCUUAUUUUUAAUAAAUAUAUCGAAAAACUGUAUAAACUAUAAAGGACCAAUUAAGAAAAAAGAAAGAGGGCAGAUUUGUCUUAUACCCGUGCAUCCCGAUACAGUUAUAGUGACUACCCUCUCAAAUAAUAAUGAUAAACAUACUAAGGAUACUUAUUUGAUUAUAAAGUUAUCUCUGUCAACUGCCUUGGAUAAAAUAUGCUUAGCAAUUUGAAUGAAGUCGAAACAGGUAGUUCUAGAGGAAUCUGGAGCUGAAUAGAUAAUAGG